rnacentral:lncRNA from 1 species
GGAACAUAAUCAACUUAAAAAGCUGUUAAUAAUAACCCAAUAGGCUGCUAAUACAUGGCAUUAGAAACAUACAUUAUAUCGCACAAACUGAUUUUGAAAUAAACAAACAGCAACAAGACAUAUUUUAGGUUUAAAGAGAAUCAAAGUUAAGAGAAUAGCUAAGAGGAUCGUAGUUGAAACUUGUCUGCUUCUUGUUCUUGUCUCUUGGGGAUCUCAUCUUCUUCUUCAUCUUCUUAAUCUCUCUUCUGAUUCUCCAUAAAAUACUUCUCAUUAGCUUCUUCUCCUUCUUCCCUAGCUCCAUUACCAUUAUGCAUCCCAUUUUUCUUCUGCUUUCCUCUUUUUUGGUCGAAAGUGAGAAAUGAGAGAGAGAGAAAGAGAGCUGCAAAGUUAAAAAAGUGUGAAGUGAAUAAAGUCAAUUGUGGAGAAGGAAGACUACUUAUAAAAGCAGUAUCUCUGUCUUUGUUUGUAGAGUUGUACCAAGGAGAAGCAUUGAUGUUGACCUCUCACUUUUU